rnacentral:tRNA from 2 species
GGUCGCGUAGCUCAGCUGGUUAGAGCGUACGAUUCACAUUCGUAAGGUCCCCCGUUCGAUCCGGGGCGCGACCA